rnacentral:rRNA from 1 species
AUGGAUGCCCGCGAUCUGCAUACCAUGAUCGCCAAGAUGGCGGUGCCCGUGAUGGCCACGGUGCUGCUGAUCACGGUGUCGACUCUCUCCAUGGCGCCGGACGGGUGUGCCUGCGCCUGCCUCCGCUUGUGCUUCGGCAGCAAAUACUUCCCGAUGAUCUUCGUGCUCUCCCAGAUCCACCUGGGCCGUCUUUUGGCGAGAGAGGCCGUUCUGGCGCGGAGGCUGGCGGCCCGGCGCUACUACGCGGUGGGCGCCGUCGCGUGCUUCGUGGAGGUCGCGCUCAAGCUGUACAUGAUCCUGGUGUUGUGCCCCUAG